rnacentral:snRNA from 1 species
AGACAUCUGAGUGACCUGCAGUGACAUCUGUCACCGACUGAUCACUUGGGCAGAUCUGAUUGAUCUGGCUGGCUAGGUGUGUGUCUCCUUCCCACCUCUUGCUUCUCCAUAUGCAUCCCUCCCAGAGUUACACACUUGAUCGAAGAAGACAGACUUUUCUGGUUGUGGUGGACUGCGUAAUGUGUAAA